rnacentral:siRNA from 1 species
UGAGGGAUGCAGUUCUGCUUGU